rnacentral:rRNA from 1 species
GUUUGAUCCUGGCUCAGAUUGAACGCUGGCGGCAGGCUUAACACAUGCAAGUCGAGCGGUAACAGGAGAAGCUUGCUUCUCGCUGACGAGCGGCGGACGGGUGAGUAAUACUUAGGAAUCUACCUAGUAGUGGGGGAUAGCACGGGGAAACUCGUAUUAAUACCGCAUACGACCUACGGGAGAAAGGGGGCAGUUUACUGCUCUCGCUAUUAGAUGAGCCUAAGUCGGAUUAGCUAGAUGGUGGGGUAAAGGCCUACCAUGGCGACGAUCUGUAGCUGGUCUGAGAGGAUGAUCAGCCACACCGGGACUGAGACACGGCCCGGACUCCUACGGGAGGCAGCAGUGGGGAAUAUUGGACAAUGGGGGAAACCCUGAUCCAGCCAUGCCGCGUGUGUGAAGAAGGCCUUUUGGUUGUAAAGCACUUUAAGCAGUGAAGAAGACUCCGUGGUUAAUACCCACGGACGAUGACAUUAGCUGCAGAAUAAGCACCGGCUAACUCUGUGCCAGCAGCCGCGGUAAU